rnacentral:rRNA from 1 species
UACGUAGGGUGCGAGCGUUAAUCGGAAUUACUGGGCGUAAAGCGUGCGCAGGCGGUUUUGUAAGCCAGAUGUGAAAUCCCCGGGCUCAACCUGGGAAUGGCAUUUGGGACUGCAAGGCUCGAGUGCGGCAGAGGAGACUGGAAUUCCUGGUGUAGCGGUGAAAUGCGCAGAUAUCAGGAGGAACACCGGUGGCGAAGGCGGUUCUCUGGGACGGUACUGACGCUGAGACGCGAAAGCGUGGGGAGCGAACAGG